CAGCCGCCACGGUAAUACGUAGGUGGCAAGCGUUGUCCGGAAUUAUUGGGCGUAAAGCGCGCGCAGGUGGUUUAAUAAGUCUGAUGUGAAAGCCCACGGCUCAACCGUGGAGGGUCAUUGGAAACUGUUAAACUUGAGUGCAGGAGAGAAAAGUGGAAUUCCUAGUGUAGCGGUGAAAUGCGUAGAGAUUAGGAGGAACACCAGUGGCGAAGGCGGCUUUUUGGCCUGUAACUGACACUGAGGCGCGAAAGCGUGGGGAGCAAACAGGAUUAGAUACCCCCGUAGUCCCUGUCUCUUAUAU
rnacentral:rRNA from 1 species